UCCAUGGGUUUCGUCAGUUUAUGAUCAUCAGAGUAAUGUUUUUACCUGGUUUCCCACUGAAGCUAAGCAGGGUUGAGCCUGGCCAUUUUUUGAAUGGGAGACCUCCUGGGGAAAACUAAGGUUGCUGCUGGAA
rnacentral:rRNA from 1 species